rnacentral:lncRNA from 1 species
UCAUGUACACCCCUAUAUGGAGAUCAAUUCCUUAGUAAUUGUGAAUAUGCUUAAUAAUAAGGAAUAAAGAAAAACUAAUUUUGGGAUUAAUUUUAGGAUAAUUUUUCUCAUAUUUAAUUGGAAUAAGAUUGAGAAAUAACUUAUUCCACAAUUAGUUAUUUCAGAUUUGUUGUGUGAUUUUUACUUCUAAUUAUUUUUGUAGAAUAAAAUUACUUCUACUGAGUGGCUCUUCACUGCAACAAGGACCACAAGGUGAUAUUACAUUAUUGUUGCACAUACUUGGUCAGAAGCAACAUAAAUGGAUUGUUACAUGGUUUAACUUUUGCAUAGGAUAAAAGUGGUUUGUUAAGGAUUGGACCAACUUGGAUCGGGUAUGAAGAGGACCGGUCAAAGGAUGGAUCCAUCUCGAGAGUCAAAACAUCAUAGGGCGAGGCGCCUGCUCAGGAGAAAAAGAGAUCACCCGAGAUCAGCUAAGGAUGGUGACUGCGCGCUAGCAAACAAAUUGAAGAAUAUUGUGUCAGAGAUUUCAGAAAGCACAGCCAGUCCUCGAUAGAAUCGCGUCUGACACACACUAGUGGGCUGAUUUCUCUCGGAAAACACAAAGACAAGUGACAAUUUCCUAUUGGCCACAGGUUGCGUUGGCAUUCUAUAAAUACAUACCUCCUUCUUCAUUGUAAAGCAUCAAAUUUUUUGCUCAUCCAUAAUCUAUCAGCAAUAAAUUAAAGUAUCUUUCGCUUGAUUCUUAAACAUUCUCUAUUUUUUUUUUUUUAGCUGCUUUACUGUUUUUUCUUUAUUGCACUCUAGAUCGGUCACAUCUUGCCUAUAGCUGUAAGGACUUAGUACUCAACUUUCGCUACAGAUUUGCUCCUAAAGCUUUGCCUUGUUUGCUUUAUUUCAUCUUUCGCUUAUUUUAUUUACUUUUUUCGCAAAUGUAUACUACUAACCCGAAGCUUAAUUAGGUCGUAACACAUACUUUUGACUCGUGUUGGUGCAUUUUAUUAUUAAAAUAAAAAUAUUAAAGUGCAUGGCAAUUAG